GAAAAAAAAGAUGUCAAUUGGUUAUUAUUACAUGAACUAAUGAAUAUUGCGAAUGUGGCAAGCGCUUCAAUUCUAGUAAAAUGAUGUGAAAGAAAGAAAGAAAGAAAGAAAGAAAGGAAGGAAGGAAGAAAACACGGUUCUUCACACUGUUGGGCCCGAAGACUCGUGGUAAAGGUGUGAUGGCACUAUGUGGACAAUGUGGCAAUAUCUGACACAGACUGGUGGCCUUGUCUACUUUAACAAGUACAGUUAUUAUUGGUCCAUGCUGCCCUCCUCUGUACACAAGCAGAUGCAGCUACAUAAGUCUCAUUUGAGAUGAAAGUGACUGUUUACUAAAAAAAUAUGCUGGUGAAAGCCAAGCUAAUGUGCUUUGACAUUUUGUUUAUAAAACUCUGUAUUUCUCUGUGUGUACAUUCCACAUAAAAAACGAUUAAUGACAGCCCAUAUUUGAAAGACUAAUUUGGGUAUAUAUUUAUGAGGUAGAAAUGUGUAUGCCAUUGGGUAAGCUGAUUCAACAGUGCACAUCAUUCCUUGAUGGGCCAGUCCAGCAGGCAAUGCAAUGUGCUGAUGCAGGAUGAAGUGAAGGCUUUUUGUUACAGGUCAUUACGGUGGAGCGAUUGAUGCCAACUAAGUAGCCAGUGCUAGUAAAAAAGUUAAGACUAACUUAUUUGCAAUUGCAGAAGUGUACUCUAGUGAUAUUGCUCAACUUAAUAUUUGUUUUUAUAGUGUUGCUUUAAAAACAUAAGGGAUCGACCAAAGCUUUGAUAAUUGUGUGGGGUGACCAGAAUUAUGCACUACCAGAGUUUGACCGUAUGGAUGCAUCAUAUGUGGUUGAAUGCACAGCUAAACAAAGUUUUUGGUACACAGAAGUCACCAAACAUUUUUUCCUUGUGGUCUGGCUCAGUAGCCUAAAAUUGUUCAGUGCAGUGCUCAAGCAAAGAACAACAGGCUGCACUUUUCAGUUCCAUAAUUCAUGUAUUGGCUAAAGGUGCACUGACAUGUUUUGUAAACUUAUGCAACCAGGAGCACUAUGUGGAACACAGCAAAAAUAACACUUUGUCCUCUGGUGCAAUAAAACAUGACUGCUUUAGUUGGAAUUCAAGAUGGAAUGUCAGCACACUGCUUUUUAAACAUUUGAGUUUGUUUCCUGACAUAAUGAUGGCGCAACAGCACAAUAGACACAGGAAGAGCAAUAAGAACAUCUGUUAAGCAGGUAAAGUUAACUGUUACGAAUGAAGAAUUAUCAUCUGCAUAUUUUUUUGCAUCAGUUUACAAGUGUAAACUUUUUGUUGUUUUUGUGCUUUCUGUGUAAGCAUGUUUGUGCUAUGUGCUGGCUGCCACAUUCCAAGGCAAUUAAUUAUGCAUCAUGGAGAAGCCAUUUACGGUUUUGAUGGGGCUUGUUCAGAUACACAGCCAAGUACUGCUUACACGCAGGAAAAUAAAGAUAGUGGCCUCAUUGGUCAGUGCUAUAAAAUCAGCAAAACAAAUUAAAAAAAUGUGCCCCACAGCCUGCAAUAGUGCACAGAGCUCAUUCAAUGCAACUCCCAAUGAAAUCAGUGGCAUGCAGCCAGCUUCACAUACUUACAAUGUCCAACAUUUUCAUUUUCCAAGAAUCUCUAAAGAAAGAGGUAAGGUGCCUUCUCAAGUGAGGGUGCAUGGGCUAAUGGACUCAAUUUGAAAUCUAGGCUAACUUCCUUUAACUCUUGAACAGACCCUUCUCGAAACCGGAAUACCUUGAAUCACGAAUAAUUGAUACAAUCUCAAAGAUAACCCCAAACCAUGAUCCUUCCAGUUGCACAUAGAAGUGCAUGACAAAGUUAGAAGGUUAUAGUACUGCAGCAAUGUUUACAAGAUUUGCAUUAAUUUUGUCUUCUUUCUUUAAAGGAAGAACAGCUGAAACCACCCAUGGUACGGGGGACCAUCAUCACCACUGCUACUGCUGCACGUGGCAUGUGAAUGCGAAGUUUCUAGUAUGAUGCAUCACAUAACACCUAACUGCUGCUUAAAAGAUAUCACAUUGAGGCACGAGUAUCUGCUUUAAAGUCACCCAGAAAAUACUCAUCAAUUAUCGGAACUUUGUUAAAAGUGGGGGAGUAUUUUUUGCUGCAAGAAGCAUCCCUGCUGUAAACAAUGCUUCGGGAAUUGAAUCGCGGCACUGCGAUCCAUCUUUAGAUCUGUACUUGUCUGUCCAGAGACCCAAACUUCAGCUCUUGGUAAAAAUGGUGUGCUUGCCACUUCUCAAGUGGAACCUAUGGAUCUGACUACACUCAUGAACAAAAUUUCUGACUACGAAGUGAAGGCUACAAACUGAAGUGCAUGUGUGGAACCACUGCUGGAGACAGUCCCGCAAUUUUGUUUAUGAUGAAGAAAAUAAACGAGAUGAACGAAACGACACCAGCAGGUGUGUCCUUUUGCCUGCUCUGCUCGGUCGAGGUGCGCAUAUGAUGUGACAUCGUAGCCAACGGGAAUUUAGAUGCCAUUUUGCUGCAACGCAGGCCAACUUUCUCACUCAAAGCGCCAUUUAAUGCUUUUGCAUCAAAACAAAAACCAGUGCCACAUACACCAGAGACCAAUACUGUCCAUAAAGUGAGUCAUUUGUAAUAAUAAAUCUUAAUGGGAAAACAGAGAACAUUUACUGAUAAAAAAAAGUGGUGGUUUCAGUGCAUGGCACUGAUGCACUAGAAAGAAAUUUGAUAUAAUCUGAGCAACUUGAAGACCAUUAUGCUUGUCACCACUAUAUUAACAAAACUGCAAUGCAGUUAGAAGCACCGAGCGGAUAAUGAUGACUAUGAUGGCAAGCUUCAUGUUAAUGGAAUUCUCAGCAACAUAGCUUUGACUCAAAGUGAUACCAACAGAAAAGCAGUGAGAGCUACAGCUUCUUGACAAAGCUAGCAUGUAAGAGAAAAAGCUGCUGUGUCUUCGCUGGCUUCUGCACAUGAGGUGCCAGUAGAACAGAUUAAGAAUCUAGAAGGUCCGGUUUUUGUCUUAGCAUGUACACGUGAAAAAACACGAGUAUCUAAGCUACCAUGCAGCCGCCGCCUGCAUUUCGCCACCGGUAGGCGAGGGGCUUUUGGUUUAUUUCUUUCAGAGGAGCCCUUGUUCACAAUGAUCCUGUCUAUAUUGAUGAGACAAACUACACCAGCUUCUAAAGGCCUUACAACAUGUUUCUGCCCCGUCCAUUGUCCAGACAACAAGCUUCCAUAUUAACAAGGAGCAAAUUUAUUGGAAAAGUUUGGUGCCCACAAAAAUUAUCUAUAUUUUGAGGCAUUGAUAUUAAGAGGAAGCUCUAGCUCGGGCUCAACUUCAAUGCAACCUAUUCAAAUACAUGUAAAAUGCAGAAAUGCUUUCAUGAGAUAACUCUGCCAAUUUUAGUGAAAUUUGUUGCAUUUGAGAGAAACAGUUAAAUUCUAGUGACUGUUGGAAGCGAAAUUUUUAUUUAGAUCCUGAAUUUUUUAAAAGGAAUUCUCAACGUUCUGUACGUUCGAAAAAACAGAAGGGACAAGUUUACAAACUUGCAGCUCUGUACCAAGAACAGAUAUCUUAGUUCUGCAAACUGCAUCCAUGAGAGCAUCCAAAGCAGACAAAUUUGAUACAUGAAUUUAUAUCUUACGUGAAUUUGCUACAAUGUUUAUAAGAGUUUUGCAAAUGCCCUACUCACGUAUUAGUGGUAUAUGUGAGGGCCAUGUAUAAAUGCAUUAAUUUUGUCCUCGUUAGACGUACUAUUAGAUGCAGUUUACAGAAUUGUGAUAUCGUUUUUCAUCGCUGUAAACUUGACAGUAUAUUUACUGAACAUUUGCGAUAUUCAUCUAUCUUUAUUGAAAAAUUUAUGACCUAAAUCGA